UACGAAGGGGGCUAGCGUUGUUCGGAAUUACUGGGCGUAAAGCGCGCGCAGGCGGUCUUCCAAGUCAGUGGUGAAAGCCUGGAGCUCAACUCCAGAACUGCCAUUGAAACUGUUAGACUUGAGUACGAGAGAGGUGAGUGGAAUUCCCAGUGUAGAGGUGAAAUUCGUAGAUAUUGGGAAGAACACCGGUGGCGAAGGCGGCUCACUGGCUCAUUUCUGACGCUCAGGCGCGACAGCGUGGGGAUCAAACAGG
rnacentral:rRNA from 1 species